rnacentral:rRNA from 1 species
GAUUAACGCUAGCGGCAGGCAUAAUACAUGCAAGUUGAACGGCAGCACAGGUAGCAUUACUGGGUGGCGAGUGGCGCACGGGUGCGUAACACGUAUGCAACCUACCCUAUACAGGCGAAUAACCUUUAGAAAUGAGGGCUAAUACGCCGUAGUAUUACAGAUGGGCAUCUAUUUGUAAUUAAAGAUUUAUCGGUAUAGGAUGGGCAUGCGUCCCAUUAGUUAGUUGGUAAGGUAACGGCUUACCAAGACGAUGAUGGGUAGGGGAUCUGAGAGGACUUACCCCCACACUGGUACUGAGACACGGACCAGACUCCUACGGGAGGCAGCAGUAAGGAAUAUUGGGCAAUGGCCGCGAGGCUGACCCAGCCAUGCCGCGUGCAGGAAGACGGCCUUAUGGGUUGUAAACUGCUUUUAUACGGGAAUAAUAGAGUGUACGCGUACAUUUAUGCAAGUAUCGUAUGAAUAAGCAUCGGCUAACUCCGUG